GGGUUGUGAGGUUAAGCGACUAAGCGUACACGGUGGAUGCCCUGGCAGUCAGAGGCGAUGAAGGGCGUGCUAAUCUGCGAUAAGCGCCGGUAAGGUGAUAUGAACCGUUAUAACCGGCGAUACCCGAAUGGGGAAACCCAGUGUGACUCGUCACACUAUCAUUAACUGAAUCCAUAGGUUAAUGAGGCGAACCGGGGGAACUGAAACAUCU
rnacentral:rRNA from 2 species